UUGUUAUCUGCGGUGCUGCAGGAACAAUAUACUGUCUUUCUCGCAGUGGGAAUCCAGCCUGCUGGGAACAGAUUACACUGCACACACCGCCAAGGUAGUUAUUUAUAUUUUCACAUCGAGUAGUUGAAAAUACAUAAAUGUACAAACACACUUAGACACUUGCACACGUUUAUGCCUCUAUGUAUGUGUGUGAGGGCGUGUGUAUGUGUGUGUGUGUCCAUAAACAAACAAGCAAAAAUAACAUUUCAACAAACUGACACAAAUGUAUUGCCAUCACCACAAGCAGCAGCAAGAAUAAGAUGGAAAUUUGACAAACACUCUGGGUCCUUCCGCAGUGGAUGGAGAUGUCAUGGGCCUUCCUCUUUAACAGUCUCUCAGGGUCUCCAGCCACACCUGAUCUCCCUCGCUGAGCUGCAUCAGGACAAGGUUGGAAGCCUGGUCGAUGUCCUGGCCGUAAAGGGAAUCUCGUGUCCUCACUUUCCGCACCCCAUUAACCACCAAGGCAACCCGCAGGGGCCGGUUGCGCACAGUGAUGUGAUAAGUGAGCAGUCCGGGUGGAGGAAAGGACCGACUUGGGAACAAACCCACACUGAAAGCAGAACGAACCGGCUCCAAACUCUCACCUGGAUCGCCUUUUGGGCCCCGAGGGCCCCGUACACCUUUAACUCCC